AUGAACGCUAGCUACAGGCUUAACACAUGCAAGUCGAGGGGCAGCAUGGUCUUAGCUUGCUAAGGCCGAUGGCGACCGGCGCACGGGUGAGUAACACGUAUCCAACCUGCCGUCUACUCUUGGACAGCCUUCUGAAAGGAAGAUUAAUACAAGAUGGCAUCAUGAGUCCGCAUGUUCACAUGAUUAAAGGUAUUCCGGUAGACGAUGGGGAUGCGUUCCAUUAGAUAGUAGGCGGGGUAACGGCCCACCUAGUCUUCGAUGGAUAGGGGUUCUGAGAGGAAGGUCCCCCACAUUGGAACUGAGACACGGUCCAAACUCCUACGGGAGGCAGCAGUGAGGAAUAUUGGUCAAUGGGCGAGAGCCUGAACCAGCCAAGUAGCGUGAAGGAUGACUGCCCUAUGGGUUGUAAACUUCUUUUAUAAAGGAAUAAAGUCGGGUAUGCAUACCCGUUUGCAUGUACUUUAUGAAUAAGGAUCGGCUAACUCCGUGCCAGCAGCCGCGGUAAUACGGAGGAUCCGAGCGUUAUCCGGAUUUAUUGGGUUUAAAGGGAGCGUAGAUGGAUGUUUAAGUCAGUUGUGAAAGUUUGCGGCUCAACCGUAAAAUUGCAGUUGAUACUGGAUAUCUUGAGUGCAGUUGAGGCAGGCGGAAUUCGUGGUGUAGCGGUGAAAUGCUUAGAUAUCACGAAGAACUCCGAUUGCGAAGGCAGCCUGCUAAGCUGCAACUGACAUUGAGGCUCGAAAGUGUGGGUAUCAAACAGGAUUAGAUACCCUGGUAGUCCACACGGUAAACGAUGAAUACUCGCUGUUUGCGAUAUACAGCAAGCGGCCAAGCGAAAGCGUUAAGUAUUCCACCUGGGGAGUACGCCGGCAACGGUGAAACUCAAAGGAAUUGACGGGGGCCCGCACAAGCGGAGGAACAUGUGGUUUAAUUCGAUGAUACGCGAGGAACCUUACCCGGGCUUAAAUUGCAGAUGAAUUACGGUGAAAGCCGUAAGCCGCAAGGCAUCUGUGAAGGUGCUGCAUGGUUGUCGUCAGCUCGUGCCGUGAGGUGUCGGCUUAAGUGCCAUAACGAGCGCAACCCUUGUUGUCAGUUACUAACAGGUCAUGCUGAGGACUCUGACAAGACUGCCAUCGUAAGAUGUGAGGAAGGUGGGGAUGACGUCAAAUCAGCACGGCCCUUACGUCCGGGGCUACACACGUGUUACAAUGGGGGGUACAGAGGGCCGCUACCACGCGAGUGGAUGCCAAUCCCAAAAACCUCUCUCAGUUCGGACUGGAGUCUGCAACCCGACUCCACGAAGCUGGAUUCGCUAGUAAUCGCGCAUCAGCCACGGCGCGGUGAAUACGUUCCCGGGCCUUGUACACACCGCCCGUCACACCACCCGAGUCGUCUGCACCCGAAGCCGCCGGCCCAACCUUCCGAGGGGGGAGGCGUCGAAGGUGUGGAGGGUGAGGGGGGUG
rnacentral:rRNA from 1 species